rnacentral:rRNA from 1 species
UUCGUGUGAACAGUGGUUGAUCACGAGUUAGUCGGUCCUAAGUUCAAGGCGAAAGCCGAAAAUUUUCAAGUAAAUAAAUAUCAAAAUAUAUUUGUCAAUUUAUAUGAUGUUAUAACACUUGAAUAAUUUUGAACGAAAGGGAAUACGGUUCCAAUUCCGUAACCUGUUGAGUAUCCGUUUGUUAUUAAAUAUGGGCCUCGUGCUCAUCCUGGCAACAGGAACGACCAUAAAGAAGCCGUCGAGAGGUAUCGGAAGAGUUUUCUUUUCUGUUUUAUAGCCGUACUACCAUGGAAGUCUUUCGCAGAGAGAUAUGGUAGAUGGGCUAGAAGAGCAUGACAUAUACUGUUGUGUCGAUAUUUUCUCCUCGGACCUUGAAAAUUUAUGGUGGGGAUACGCAAACUUCUCAACAGGCCGUACCAAUAUCCGCAGCUGGUCUCCAAGGUGAAGAGUCUCUAGUCGAUAGAAUA